GAUAUUAAUUAAUAAAUAAAUUGUGGAAAAUAUAUUGUGGACUUUGAUCUACAAGAUUCCGGUUAUUAAAUCAUCGCAGGGAAUUUCGUUUUAUUUUUAUUUUUUUAUUUGUUUUACAUAACCUAAAACCUCGAACUAUGACAGUCCGCGACAAUUACGUCAUUCUUAUCUACUAAUUCGGCCUAAUAUUGUUUGAAUUUUGGCUGGACGAUAAGAGGAAAACUUAUCUCGUCGUCUGGCACUUGAACCGGAAUAUAACCAGAUUAGUGUUCAAUGGGGUCUUAGCACAUCCACAAUUACCAGGAAAUUUAAAAGAUAGUUGUCUCCUUUAAACUAUUUAAAAAUGGAAGUGAUAGAAUAUUUAAAAAGUUCGGAAUUAGUCGCGGAUAUACAACAAUAUUUCGGCAUACAUUUACCUCAUUUGGAAAAGAAAAACGAAAACAACUUUACCAACAAUAAGGGAAAAUCCAAAGAAGACAAUCCCCCUUAUGUAAUUACAAACAAAUUAUGGUAUUAUUUAUUUAAACUUGGCACCGAAUUGGGCGACGAGUUAUUUUAUUCCUUAUUUAUACCAUUUUGGUUUUGGAAUGUUGAUGGAUUUGUAGGAAGAAGAGUUAUUUUUGUUUGGGCGAUUGUUAUGUGGAUUGGGCAAGCUAUUAAGGAUAUUGUAAAAUGGCCUCGACCAGGUUUUCCUUCAGUAAAACUCCAGAAAAAAUGGGCGUUGGAAUAUGGUAUGCCUUCUACACAUGCCAUGGUUGGAAUUUCGAUUCCUUUCUCAGUUUUAUUAUUUACCAUGAAUCGAUAUCAAUAUAAUGUAUCUAUUGGGUUAACACUGGCUAUUUUAUGGUGUACAUUAGUAUGUAUCAGUCGGUUAUAUCUUGGAAUGCAUACUGUGUUGGAUAUAAUUGCUGGUUUGUUAUUAGCUGGGAUUAUGAUGAUUCCUCUAGUACCCAUCGUUAAUCGUCUUGAUAAUUAUUUUCUGACUCACCCUACCGGUCCACUUCUAUGCUUGGUUUUGUCAGUAUUAAUUAUUAUUUACUAUCCAAAUAGUGGAAAAUGGACGCCAACAAGAGGUGAUACUACAAUGAUUCUCAGCGUUUCUGUUGGUGUACAAAGCGGGGCUUGGUUUAAUUAUCAAACGGGAAUAAUGACAGCAGCAGAAUUAUCGCCGCCCUAUGCGAUAAUGUGGCCCAGUUACACCAUGUUGGGGUGUAUAAUUUUAAGAACGAUUUUGGGAAUAUCAGUUGUUUUAGGAUUAAGAGCAAUAGCCAAAGAUUUUUUUUAUAAUUGUUUGUGUGCCAUGUUAAGGUUAGAUGCGGAUGAAUUAAAGAGUACUGAAAAUACUUUAGAGAAUGGCAGGAAAAAUUUUGUAGAAUUGGGAAGCAAGUACUUAAUGUGUUCAUCGAUUGGAUUUUGUAUUUUGUAUGUUAUUCCGUUGGUAUUUCGUUACUUAAAUAUCGAAAGACCAACGUUUUAUACGGAAAUAUGAUAAUAGGGUAGAAAGAAAACAAUUUUAAUUUAUGUAUCAAGAUGGGAAACUCAAAAUUUUUAUGCAAAUGUGCAAUUAAUCCAUUUAGUGUAUUAUGUUUGGUAAUACUUUCAUUUCAUUUCUUGGGAAUCCUUUUUUUCUCCCAACUGGUUGUUAUCAAAUCAUUGAGUCUUCUUUCUGUUGCGUUUCCACUUUUUUGCAUUUUCGACGUUCCUCAUUUUUAGGAGCUCAGGAGUGAUAUUAUCUUCUCCUGGGCCUUGUUAUUUUUCAUCCUUGCUGCACUUCUUCCACUGCUGGGCCUUCUAUCAUAACUUCCGUCGUAAUCACUCUCUUUACAUUUGCUUCCUCUUCUCCCUGGUGGACAAUGUUCAGUAAUUCAGCGAAAUGUUGCUUCCAUCUCUCCAUUUCACUUGGUACUUCUCCUUUUUUGCUGCUACACACGCUGCUUUUAGGCUAAUACCCCAAUUUCCAUCUUAAUUGUCCUGUCGAAUUUCCCCACUAUCCUCUUUGCGAAGUUCCUCUGUAUAAAUCUUGUAUUUCUCUGCAUCAUCCUCAUCCACACUUCAUUCUUCUCUUCUACUACUCUCUUACACUCUGCAUCGUACCAUUCCACAUUUCUACAAUUCGUUCUUGUGCCUUGUUUAAUCCUAAUUCAAAUUAAGUGCACAUGAGCAUUUAAAAAAAGACUCCCACCGCGAUGCAUAAAAUAAAAAAUAUCAUUUCUCCUAUUAUUUCAAAAAACAUGUUUUCUCCUCUGCUAUUUUAAUAUAAAAAUAGUGUUUCAGUACAAUUUUAAAAAUUAAUUAUCAAAGAUUUUGUUAUGAACCUUCUUAAUGUAUAUUAAAAUCAUAUUGUGAUAAAAAAUUGUUAUAAAACUUUUAUUAAGUUUUUUAAAAAUGUAUUAAUUGAAAAUGCAAUAAUUAACAAGAGUUUGCUUUAAAAUUUAUAUUACCUCAGGUUGACUAGUUUAUUGUUAUCUAUGUUUUAGUAUGUGCAGUAUUUAUUAUAUCUUAUCAAACAAAAUCUUAUUUCCGAUCGCUUCAUACGACGAUUUUUUGGCUUAACAAAAGAUUGAGCAAUUUGAUCCACUUGUAAUUAAGAAAUACUGUAGAUUAUAAACAAAAUCACAGAACGAUACACGAAGGAGAAAACUUAAGAAGUGUAAUAAUAUUUAGAGAUAGGAAUUUGCAUCAGCCACGUGCUUCCAAGUAUUUUAGUGACGUCGAAGGAUCAAGGUUUCAGAAAAAUAUGGGAAAUGGGAAAUUUAAGCUCAAAAUUUUUAUAAAUAUGAUCCUUUUUGUAAUUUUUAAUAUUAGCAACUGCCAAAUAGAUUAAGUCUCGAUCCAAAGAUCAACUUACUUAAUAACGCGUGUUCAAUAAAGUAAAAUCUAAAAAAGGUAUUAUUUUACAGGGUGUCACAAAAGUUCGUUAGUACGGUAUUUCUGUUGUUAAAAACAGAAUGGAAGCACAUACAGACAUGAAAUUGGCAUAAAUUUUAUUCAAACAAUAAUGUACAAUCAAAAUUUGUACAGGUCCGCAGAUGCUUGAGGAAUGCAGCCUCUGUGGCGGAGAUGUACUCGACGACGAAAUUUCAAGGGCGCUCUU
rnacentral:misc_RNA from 1 species